AAGAUGAAGGGCAUGACGUCAUCAUCGAUGUCACUUUAGCAAACGACGUCUUCUUUUUUUUUUUGAUAAUUCACUUGUAAUUAGGGGUGUUUAAACGACGUCUUCUUCAUAGCUCUCUAUACGUGUCCCCUAAAUAAAUUGCAGGAAUUAUUUUUCAAGAGUUGUAUCUUCCUUUAGGAGUUGUAUUUUUAAUAAGUUUACAUAUUGGAGAGAUUGUAUAGGUUUUUAAACUUGUUUCAAUGUUUUCUAAUGAUUCUCUCUUCUGUUUCCUAUCUCUCUCUCUCCGAUCUCCGGUUAGUUUAAUUUUGCGGCAGCAGAUCUCAAUUUGAUCUGCAAUUUGCUGACUAUUGUUAAAAUUUCUGCUAUUACAGUAAACAUACUUUUGCUUAGAUCUCCUCUGGUAAGGCUUCUUAGUUUGAUUAGUGUCGGUAGGAUCCACAAUUCAGAACAACUCAAUCAUUCUCUGAUGAUAUAAUUUCAGAAUCAGAUUAAGGUUCAUUGUUUAAUUACUGCACCUUUAUAUAAUAGGAUGGAGUCUGUCUUUUCUGGUAUUUUAAAAUCGAUUUCUGAUACGUGAGGAGGUACGUCUUGAAGAGAACCACACUGUCACACUCUUUGAAUUUUUAUUUUGUUAAUCUUCUUCAUUUUAUGGUACACGUAUUUGUCUCUGCAGUAUGUGAUAAUGUGUCCGAUCUCUUUUUGAAUGGUUAAUAAUGUGUGGUAGGAGCAGGCCUGGGUUGGAGAUGGAAUGAAUUGCGUCUUAUUUACUGGCCGAGGAAUCCGUUUUCGCUUUCCUUUUCUUUCUUCCCAGAUUAUUUAUGGAUUGCAAUUUAUGUCAUCUCUGAUUUUGGUACUUUCUCCAGUUUUUGUGUCGAAUUCCACUCGAUUUUCAUUGUUUCAUAUUUAUUUUCCUAAUUCAGUUU